UGUCUCUUCUCAAACUAGCUAAGAACUGAGCUUCACUCUAAUUGGACCACAGCAGGUCACAUGUCUGAGGUCACAUGACUGGGAUUAAGACAAUCCGAUGAGGCCCUGGUCAAUCCAGCCAAACCCCAUCGUUGCCACUUUUAGUGAGAGUCUGUGAUGCCCACAUGACCUCGUUUCAUCCUCCAGCAACUCCAAGCCAGUCAUUCAUGUUCUUCCCUUACAGAUGGACUCAGGCUGACAGGCAGAGUGGAGGGACCCGUCCAAGGUUGCACAGCUUCCAAAAGAAGCCUGGAGUGAAUCCAAGGUGUAUCCAGGAUCUGGAGAUUUCUUGGUCUUUGGGUUUCACUUCUGAGUACGGGCUGAGCAGUUCUUACUACAGUGGACCCUUGGCUUGUGAACUCAAUUGGUUCCCGAAGGCUGGUUGUAACUCAAGUUGAUUGUGGACAAUUUGGUGCAUGAAGAACAUUCAUAUCUGUGCAGCAGCCAUCACCACCACCAUUUCCAGAACUUUCUCAACACCCUAACUGAAAUUCUACCUGUUUGACACUUAUCACAUAACCACCGUCCAGAGGUACCUCCUGUAUGUGGAAUCACAGCCUGUCCUUUUGUGCCUGGCUUGCGUGGCACCAUGUCUUGUACAGCAUGCAUCAGAAUCCCUUUCUAAAGGUCGCAUGAUACCUGUCCGUGGAUACGUGUCACUCUGUUUCUCCAUGCGUAGACUGCAGCCCACUGGGGCUCUUUCACCUUUGGGCCAUGGUGAAGCACACUGCAGUGAACACAGGUGUGCAGGCACCUGCUUGCAGUUCUUCAGGGUUUACAGUUGUGGGCAGCACAGCAGCAUUUCACAGCAGUGGGCUGCAUGUGCAGUGGUGACCCCAUGGACUAUACAGCCCAGUGAUAUUACAGUUGUCCUAGUUUCAUUUGCACAGUGAAGUUAUCUAAUAACAUGCAUGACACUAGCGAUGUGGGGCUAUCCUACCCGGAAGUGGGAUUGCUGGAGCAUAUGGCAAUUCUGUUUAAUUUUCAGAAACUAUUUACUGAUGUGUAUGAAUUGCACAUAUGGACGGGGGCCACUGAUACUUUCAUAUAUGCAUACAGCAUGCACUGAUGAGGUCCAGUCUCCUUUCUUCUACCCACUUCCUGACCUUUAGUAACCAUUUGCUACUUUUUAGCUUCCACACAUGAGGGAGAACAUUUGGUCCUUGUCUUGCUCCACCUGGCCUGUUUCAGUUACCAUAAUGUUCUCCAGUUCCAUCCAUUCUGCUGCUCACGACAGGACUCUGUUCUUUAUGGCUGAGUGCUCUGGGGCGCAUUUUCUCCAUCUACCUGUUAAUGCGCACCCAGGCUGAUUUUG
rnacentral:lncRNA from 1 species